AGAGCGAACGCUGGCGGCAGGCCUAAUACAUGCAAGUCGAGCGGCCACUUCGGUGGCAGCGGCGGACGGGUGAGUAACGCGUGGGAAUGUGCCCUUUGGUACGGAACAACUGAGGGAAACUUCAGCUAAUACCGUAUGUGCCCUUCGGGGGAAAGAUUUAUUGCCAUUGGAGCAGCCCGCGUUGGAUUAGCUAGUUGGUGGGGUAAAGGCCCACAAGGCGACGAUCCAUAGCUGGUCUGAGAGGAUGAUCAGCCACACUGGGACUGAGACACGGCCCAGACUCCUACGGGAGGCAGCAGUGGGAAUCUUGCGCAAUGGGCGAAAGCCUGACGCAGCCAUGCCGCGUGAAUGAUGAAGGUCUUAGGAUUAGUAAAAUUCUUUACACCGGGACGAUAAUGACGGUACCCGGAGAACGAAGCCCGGACUAACGUUCGACGCCAGCGACGCCGACGUAACGUCGUAGACGGCGG
rnacentral:rRNA from 1 species